UGAAAGAUCACGCAGGUUAAUUAGAAGGAUCCGCAUUAGAAGAGCCCCACGUAGGAGAUGUCGUUUGCAUCCCAACCCCACUAUCACGUCCUGCAGAGCUUGGAACUGACUGACUUGCUGAAUUAAGCCUGUGUUUAUAUCCUUAAGAGCUCCUACAUCUCCAUGAAGAUUUAUUUUCCUGUAUUUAUACCAGAAAAGAAUAUAUUCCAUCCUGUUGUGACAAGGCCCACAUACUAUUCCUUCAGACCUCAACAGAGUAAAGAGUUCAUAAAGGAGUUCACUGAUACCUUGUUGACAAUGGUGAUGAAAUACCCUGACUUGUCAUCCUGGGAGAUUUCAACAUACACACCGACAAGACUGCAGACACAAAGUCCCCUAAACUCACCUCCUGGCUUUCCUCCCAAACGCUCUCUGGGAGUGUCUACACUGACAUUUGCAGUCAGCCUCAAAGGGUCCCCUUUAUCUGUUCUGAGUGGCGUAUGUCACCCUAACAGCACACUUGCCUCUCCAAGUCACUUGGUGCCAUAUAUAUGUGAAGUGGGAUUAGUGUUGCCUCCAC
rnacentral:lncRNA from 1 species